rnacentral:tRNA from 1 species
UGUAGCUCAGUUGGUAGAGUGCUUGUCUGGCACGCAUAAGUCCCUGGGUUUGAACCCUAGCA